CGAAGAACCUUACCUGGGUUUGACAUAUACCGGAAAGCUGCAGAGAUGUAGCCCCCUUUUGGUCGGUAUACAGGUGGUGCAUGGCUGUCGUCAGCUCGUGUCGUGAGAUGUUGGGUUAAGUCCCGCAACGAGCGCAACCCUCGUCCUAUGUUGCCAGCACGUAAUGGUGGGGACUCAUAGGAGACUGCCGGGGUCAACUCGGAGGAAGGUGGGGAUGACGUCAAGUCUUCAUGCCCCUUAUGUCCAGGGCUUCAAGCAUGCUACAAUGGCCGGUACAAAGGGCUGCGAAACCGCAAGGUGGAGCGAAUCCCAAAAAGCCGGUCUCAGUUCGGAUUGGGGUCUGCAACUCGACCCCAUGAAGUCGGAGUCGCUAGUAAUCGCAGAUCAGCAACGCUGCGGUGAAUACGUUCCCGGGUCUUGUACACACCGA
rnacentral:rRNA from 1 species